CUGGACGACUGUGGCCCCAGCCUGGGCACAGCAGCUGUCCCUGGGUCCCUGGGUGGGCCGGGUGGGCACGUCCUUGGUCAAGGCAGGGGGCCUGGUGGGGAGGCAGACAUGCCCUUCUCUGUGUUGGGGGAGCCCCCAGCGAGGGUCUGGCUCCCCUGACCCCCACUUCAUGCGUUCCUGGCAGUUGCUGGGGGCCACUUGUGUGCAAACCUGAGACGUCUGCAGUACCCUGGACCCGGGGGACCCUGCCUGGGGACGGCUGGAUAAUCCCGAGACACUGUCUCUCCUUCUCUCCUCCCUGUGUGGGCUCUUCUGCAGGGCAGAGUCACACGGCCGCCCCUUCCUGGUCCCGGCAGGCAGGUGUGGGCAGGAGGGGACUCCUGGCCUUUGGUUCAGUGGGACCCAGGCCGGGGGCCCCACGUGUGUCCGAGUCCUGGGCUGCCGUGGAGACACCUUCAUUCCUGGCCCCCGGGAGGGCCGGGACUCCCUCCUCAGGGACUCCUGUCUGGCCCCGUCCAGGGCACCUGCCGGCCCACGGUCCCUGUGUGCUCAGCGGGCUUCAGCCUUCGUCCCGGGAGCUCCAGCCCCGGCUGCCCAUUGCCCACAGCGCUGUCGCCCAGAGCGGCCGCGUGACAGUGGCUGGCAGAGGCCGGGUGCCCCUUGGGACAGGACUGCAGAGCCCCAGACCGCUGAUGUCAGGACCGGUUUCCCAGUGCUGGGCUGACUGCAGGAGAAAGCCGCCCCUGUCCAGUGCCGGUGUGACGACAGUGUGAGGGUCUUACGUGCCUCUGCAAGGCGGAGGAACUUCGUUUGCGAGCUCAUUUAGCUGGGAAGUCUCCGCUUUUUCUGGCCCUGCAUCUACCAAGCGGGUAAUACAGCUUUCUUCUUUAUUCUGCUAACAUGCUGAAUUAUAUCAGUUGAUUAUUUUGUGGAGGCGAAAGCCACACGGUACUGACUUAGCCAUUUUAGAGCAGACAGUUCCGCAGCGUUUAGUGCAGUCGCCGUGCUGUGCAGGCGUCACCCCUGCGAGCUAACCUGUCCCUUUGGGAACAACCCCAGUCUGUCACGUAGGUUACGAUACAGCGUGCAUCUUACAAUGUAUCAUCAUCUCUGAUCUGCCAAGUUGUUUGGGGUUUUCGCCUGACCUUCACGAGAAACAAAGUUGCUGAUACCAGGAUGGGGUCAGUCCUGCCAGGCCCUGACCAGGUGGAGCUGGGGGCGGGGAAGGAGGGUCUCACGCUGGAUGCCAGAGAGAGGAACGACCACAGGGCUUCCUGCAAACCCAUGAGGGCUUCCUUCACGUCUGACACGCCUUGCACACUUUGCUGGUUCUCCCGGCAGCAGGUAUUUCUGUAGCGGAGCCUUGUCUUCCAAUCUGCAGCCACAGACAGACCAGCCCCAGAAACUAGCCCAGCAGUGGCUGCCUCUACCCCGGCUGCAGCCCCCGCAGAGCUCUGCGGCCAGCAUUGCUGCCCAGACGCUCGCCUCAACUUCCCCUUUGCCCGUAGAUGUUUCCCUUCCUCCAGCCUCUCCGGGUGCACCUGGGAUUCCUCCCGGCCUGCGUGUCCGGACUGCAGUCCCCUGUCAUUCAUUCCUGAGCAAGUUCAUUUGUUCCUGGGGUAGUCACUCUGCUGUCGAGGUAUUGGCCUAUAAUUUUAUGCCUUGUAAAAGCUAUAACCAGUGUAACUGCUUUAGCAUUAAUUAUACCGGUUGCACACAGCUAGUUAGGCUCUCUGAUUUUCCGUUCUUAAAAUUUGUGUAAAAUGAUCUUUUUUGUUAAAUAUUCUGGAUUAGGAGACCAAAGAUUGUAAAGAGGUCAAUUUCGCAGAGUAAGCUAUACGUGUAGAGCAGUCCCAAUCAAAACCUCAGGAUUUUUUUUUUGUCGGCGGGGCGGGCCGGGGUAGGUGUGUUUGGUUGCUGCUGACAGUUACAACCAGAUACCCAAUGUUUGUGACAGUAAAAAGGGCCACGAAGUAGCCAAGGCAAACUGAAGUUAAACAAAUUUUAGGAUUUGAGCUGCUUAAUGCCACCUGAGCCAUGGCACGUCCUUCCCACACACCCCAGGCCUCUCUUCUAGGUAAACACUGUUGCUAGACGCAGCGUCCCCCGAGGUGGCACGGGUGAGGGAGAGGGUCUGCAGGGGCGUCACCAGUCCUGGACCUGACUCCUGCAGCGGCACCUGCAACGGGACCCUGGGGACAAGGAGCAAAGCCGUGAGUCACAGACAGACACCACAGCCCACGGCCGCAUUGCUGAGAUCUUUGAGACUCACGUGGGGUGCGGACAUCAGCAGGGACAACAGGGAGAUUUCACGUUCUUCUCAGUUGUGGGCGUGACUCUCCCAGGGCCCCCCCCCCCCCGGGCAAAGUGGGAAGAGUGACUGGCCCUCCAGCCCGGGCCGCCGUGCCCUGGGUCUCUGGAAGGGGCUGUGCCUUUGCACUGUGUCUGCUGUGACUCAGGUGGGACCCUCUCCCUCCAGGUCCUGCCCCCCUGCUAACCCCGCCAUGGGGGAAACAGACUGGGCACUGCUUUGGGGAGCACACGGGGGCACAGAGUGAGGCGGGAUCGAGGUAGCCACGGAAGGGGGUCCCAGCUCUGCAGGGGAAAGGAGGGCUCGGGGGGGCUUCGAGAUUGUUUCCUCCACUCUGCAGGGAGUGGACGAAGGGUCUGGGAUUCUAGGGAAGCCCCAGGCACCCCAGCCCUGACUGACACACAGGGGAACCGUCUCAUCAGCCCAGGAGAAGGGGUACAUCCUCGUGCCUCAGCAGAGAAGCUGCAGGGACUUCGGGCGUCUCCCCGACCAGGACACACCUGCAGUGCAGCUGCCAUCUGUCCCAGGGACCUCCGGGCAGCUUCUUCCCGGUGCCUCCGUGACAUCAAAGGAAAUGAGCGCCGCCUCGGUGCCAUCUGAAGUCAUCCCUGGAAAGGCCAAAACAAUUUUUAUUGACAAGAGGUACAGGCAAUUGAUACAUUCAUUGUCUGACUACAUUUCACCUGAACGAAAAAAAAAAAAAACUAUUAAGAUCAUACUUACUUAUGUGUAAAUCGUACCUAAUUACGAGUAAACUAGUAAAAAAAAUAAACGUUAGGAACUGCA